GGGGAUGAAAGGAUUUCGACGGGGGUUUUGAAACACGAUAAGCGAGCAGCGGCGCGGAACCGCUUUAAAAGCCGCACUUUUUAAAGAAUAAACGACAACAAUAAAGUUUCGUUACAGGCUGCUUAAGCCUGCGUCCUGUCUUUGAGUCCUGCGGCUUAGAUUUGGGCGUCGAUUAGCAGGGAACGUGAACAGGGGAUGGCCUCCUCCCCUGUCAUGACUUGGAGGCUACCGUAAGCGUCAGCCUGCCGGACGGCGGGCGCUGAGGGGAAUCCUAGUAGACCGGAUACGCUCGUAGAAAGUUGUGCGGAUGAGCUUUCGGACGCGGGUUCGACUCCCGCCAUCUCCACCA
rnacentral:tmRNA from 1 species